AAGUCGUAACAAGGUUUCCGUAGGUGAACCUGCGGAAGGAUCAUUAAAAAAAUUAAUGAAUGUCGGGGGGGGCGUUCGGGUUUCUUACCUGUCGCUCUCCGUGUAUUCAACCAACCCGCUCUUGUAUUUGGAUCAACCAAAAAUUAACAAAAUACCUAUACAUAAUAAAAAAUAAACUUUCAACAACGGAUCUCUUGGCUCUC
rnacentral:misc_RNA from 1 species